GAUGAACGCUAGCUACAGGCUUAACACAUGCAAGUCGCGGGACCGGCGCACGGGUGAGUAACGCGUAUCCAACCUGCCCUUCACCACGGGAUAACCCGGCGAAAGUCGGACUAAGACCGUAUGGGGAAGGGUGGGGAUGCGUCCGAUUAGCUUGACGGCGGGGUAACGGGCCACCGGGGCUACGCUCGGUAGGGGUUCUGGGAGGAAGGUCCCCCACACUGGAACUGAGACACGGUCCAGACUCCUACGGGAGGCAGCAGUGAGGAAUAUUGGUCAAUGGGCGUAAGCCUGAACCAGCCAAGUAGCGUGCAGGACGACGGCCUAUGGGUUGUAAACUGCUUUUAUGCGGGGAUAGGUACCGCAUGAAUAAGGACCGGCUAAUUCCGUGCCAGCAGCCGCGGUAAUUC
rnacentral:rRNA from 1 species